GUCUAAACCGUUCGUAGCCGGUCUGGUAAAUCCUUGGGUAAAUCGGGGAGCUCAACUUUCCGAAUUCCGAGGAGACUGCCAGACUUGGGACCGGGAGAGGCUAGAGGUACUUCUGGGGUAGGGGUAAAAUCCUGUAAUCCUAGAAGGACCACCGGUGGCGAAGGCGUCUAGCUAGAACGGAUCCGACGGUGAGGGACGAAGCCCUGGGUCGCAAACGGGAUUAGAUACCCCGGUAGUCCAGGGUGUAAACGCUGCAGACUUGGUGUUGGAGGCCCUUCGGGGGCAUUCAGUGCCGGAGAGAAGUUGUUAAGUCUGCUACUUGGGGAGUACGUCCGCAAGGAUGAAACUUAAAGGAAUUGGCGGGGGAGCACCGCAACGGGAGGAGCGUGCGGUUUAAUUGGAUUCAACACCGGAAAACUCACCAAGGGCGACCAUUACAUGAAAGCCAGGCUAAUGACCUUGCUAGAUUUUUGGAGAGGUGGUGCAUGGCCGUCGUCAGUUCGUACCGUAAGGCGUUCUCUUAAGUGAGAUAACGAACGAGACCCUCACUGAUAAUUGCUAAUCUAUUCUCCGGAGUAGAUGCACAUUAUUGGGACCGCUGACGCUAAGUCAGAGGAAGGAGAGGUCAACGGUAGGUCAGUAUGCCCCGAAUCUCUUGGGCUACACGCGCGCUACAAAGGGCGGGACAAUGGGCUCCGACGCCGAGAGGCGAAGGUAAUCUCGAAACCCGUCCAUAGUUCGGACUGAGGGUUGUAACUCACCCUCACGAAGCUGGAUUCCGUAGUAAUCGCGAAUCAACAACUCGCGGUGAAUAUGCCCCUGCUCCUUGCACACACCGCCCGUCAAACCAUCC
rnacentral:rRNA from 1 species